UAAAACGUUAAGGAGAUAGAUAUUUACAAAGAGAUUCUCUCGCUCUCGCUUCCACUCUUUUUCAUAGUUCAUAUUUCUCACAGAUUCACCGAGUUGGUACAAUCGCAUCCAAAUCUUGUAUAUAUUCACACUUUUACCUAUCCAAACCUCUGAUCAGCCAUUUUGCAUCUUUAGCAGUUCUAUAUGGUCACCAGAGCUGAAACAGGGCCAUGUGCUGCCUAGAAAAUAGGUAGUACUGGUAGUACUGGUAGAGCCGAAUUUUUGUUUUGGUUUUGUAAUGGAAAAGGUUUGUUUGGGAAGAAGCCAAGUACCCAAUUAUGUCACCCUUGAGGGAGACUGUGGAUAGUAUUCAUAGUCAAGUGUUAAAGAUUGAGGAUGAUCUCAAGGUAAUAAUUAAUUUUGUCUUGAUUUGAUAUGUUGGUUAUCUAUUAUUUGAAGGCAGAUACAAGGAACCAUUGCUUGUUAGUAAACCAAGCCUUGACAACACUGCACAGUUAAGAUUCUUCGAGAUCAGCUGAGAGAGAUUAUAUAGAAUAAGUUUCUUUACAAUGACCUAUGUGAUUUGGUUAGGUGUUUAUAGUAAAUCAGCUGUUUACUGCACUUGACUACAAUGUGUUUUGUUUUCUAUUUAGCUUAUGACAUAUGAUAUAUGUGGAUUGUGGAUGUCUUAAAGUGUGGGGUUAUCUUCCUUAGCUGGAUGAAUUGCUUGGGAGAAUGCCAAAAAUAGGAAGGAUGAGCAUCUGUGUACAAGCAUAGAGAAUUACAUUUGUAAAGCCAGGAUAUUUCAGAGAAUGAUGGUGGCUAUAUGUCCCCCCGGCGAAUAUGCAAUAGAAGGACUAUUUUCAGAAAAAUCAAAUGUCUUCAAUUUUGGAGUGUUGUUACUAGAGAUAGUUAGUGGAAGAAGAAACACUAGCAUUUAUAAUGAUAAGCAGUCCUUGAGCCUUUUAGGACUUGCCUGGAAACUGUGGAAUGCAGACAACAUUGUAGCCUUAAUAGACCCAAUGAUAUACAAACCCUGCUUUGAAAUGGAGAUUUUGAGAUGCAACAGGUUGGGUUGUUGUGUGUUCAAGAAUUUGCUAAAGAUAGGCCAACUAUAUAUGUUGUUGUUUCCAUUCUUAAAAGUGAGAUUGUUGAUCUGCCCCCUCCAAAGAAAUCAGCAUUCACUGAAAGGAACAUUGCCAUAGAUACGAAGUCCUCUCAACUCAGCCAAAGUAUAUGCUCUUCUAACAAUGUUACUAUUACAAAGGUUCAAGGUCGAUAGCUUGCAUGUGUUCUUGAAAUAAUGACUUUAUUGUUAUAUAUACACUAGUUGAUAAUCUGUGCAAUGCACGAGUUAGUUAAAUAAAAAUCACCUGUAUUUAUUUUGUUUGAA